UACACACCGCCCGUCACACCAUGGAAGUUGGUUGCACCAGAGGUAGGUAGCCUAACCGCAAGGAGGGCGCUUACCACGGUGUGGCCAAUGACUGGGGUG
rnacentral:rRNA from 1 species